UACAGAGGGUGCGAGCGUUAAUCGGAAUUACUGGGCGUAAAGCGUGCGUAGACGGUAGCGUAAGUCAGAUGUGAAAGCCCCGAGCUCAACUUGGGAAUUGCAGUGGAUACUGGCAGGCUGGAGUACGGUAGAGGAAGGUGGAAUUCCCGGUGUAGCAGUGAAAUGCGUAGAUAUCGGGAGGAACACCAGUGGCGAAGGCGGCCUUCUGGACCAGUACUGACGCUCAUGCACGAAAGCGUGGGGAGCAAACAGG
rnacentral:rRNA from 1 species